UACGGGGGGGGCAAGCGUUGUUCGGAAUUACUGGGCGUAAAGGGCUCGUAGGUGGCCAACUAAGUCAGACGUGAAAUCCCUCGGCUUAACCGGGGAACUGCGUCUGAUACUGGAUGGCUUGAGAUUGGGAGAGGGAUGCGGAAUUCCAGGUGUAGCGGCGAAAUGCGUAGAUAUCUGGAGGAACACCGGUGGCGAAGGCGGCAUCCUGGACCAACACUGACGCUGAGGAGCGAAAGCCAGGGGAGCAAACGGG
rnacentral:rRNA from 1 species